rnacentral:rRNA from 1 species
AUGUGCAUGGCAAUAAGCGUGCGGAGUACGACAGGUUGUUGCGUGAAGCCCGUCGGGAGAUCGACGCGAAGGUCCAACACGAACGUGAUGAGAUGGAUAGGGCACUCAAACAAGAGCGUGCGUAUGUCGGUAGGAUGCUUAAGGAUGAGCGUGCUAAUAUGUCUCAAAAGAUUAAGCAGAUGCGUGAAGAGAUGGAAAAAAGUUAAAUCAGGACCGCGAGGUCAUGGAAAAGAAAUUCCAGCUGGCGUACAAGGAGAUGCAGCUUAA